UCUGCAUUCCGUCCAAGGCUCACUGUGACUUACUGCCGUUACCCAGGAAGCUUUUCUGGACAAGCCGUCAUCCACGCAGCGUUCAUUCUGCUCGCGUCCUCUCCCUGUCUGUCUCUCCAGCAUCUAGCCCCAGACAUCCAGCCGCCUGCCGGCAUCACCUCUGCCCGCCCAGUCCCAGCGCCCCUCCUCCGUCCUCUCUUACCACGUUUCCUCCUUCCCGCCAUCCGGAUCUGUUGUCUGUGUGUCUGUCUAUUAUCUGUCUGUCUAGCUAGCUAGCUACUACCUAUCAUCUACUGUCCAUCCUUUUUGUCUCAGGUGGGUCUAAGUACAUGGCUCAGGUGUGCGCCGUCUGCAAGUGUUGGUGUCUCAAGUCAAGGUGUCUGCGCUGUUGAAACUCGGAUCAUGAUGCAUUUUCCUCUUCGGAGAAGGGGUAGGAAGGAACGCUUCAGCCAGCAACGGGGCGGCGUCAUGGGGACGCCAGCAGCAGCAGCAGCAGUAGUAGUAGCAGCAGUAGAAGCCGAAGCAGAAGCCGAAAGAGAAGCCGAGAAGCAGCAGAACGAACGCUAGAGAGCCCAGAUAGAGUGAAGACUUGCU